GGUGACUCAGUGGUAGAGUGCUUGCCUUGCAUUCAUGAGGCCCUGGGUUCAAUUCCUCAGCACCA
rnacentral:tRNA from 1 species